GGAGUGGGGGGGAGGAAAAAGGCCCUCUGGAAAAUACGGCGGUUUGAAUUUUCUUUUUCCUUGGGAAACGCCCACCGAGGGCCCCGGGAAAUUAAGAGGCCGAUAAUGCUAAAGUUAUUCUGUGGGAUUUUUUUUUAAAAAAGAUUUUUUUCCCCCCUCUUAGUUUUGGGGCGUGGGAAAUUUAAGACUCCCGAUUUAAGCCAUGGUUCCAGAUCCAUUCCUUCAGAGGAGGAGUUCCCUUACUAAAUACCGUAUGCUUCUUUGAAGCUAUACUCCUACUAGAGAUGCAAUUAUUUAAUAAAUCCUGUUGAGCCUCCGGAGGGGAUGAUCUACUGCAAAGUAACUCCCGAGAUACUCAAAAGUGAAGGCACUGGCACUUAAAAUAUACACUACAAAACUCUCAUUAUCAAACUGCAUUGCAACUGUAAAGCUCUGACUGAAGAAAAUGACCCUGAUACUUUUUCUGAAAUUAGAAAAACAGACUGAAAAAGAGUUAGCGAUUUCUAUAUAGAACACGAAUGGAAAAAGAAAUUUAAGAGUAAAGCCAGAUGAAUGGGAGGUCACUUUGUCCUGAAAAAGUUGGAUGACACAUUCCAUUCCACCUGAGGGUUUAUGCCGUUCUUACUAAGAAGACAAAAAGGAUUGAUAAGAAAAAUAAUUGUAUAGUUUUGCAGAUUUAUUAAUAGGGAAUCUAAAUGGAUCUAGGAAGAAAACUUUAAAACCCUGAAUGAGUGAUAUGUGAUCACCAUUUGCAACCUCCUUUGUUGAUUCCCUACAAGCAAAGUCAGUGAGAAAGCUGGCAAGAGGUCACAAAUGACUACAUCUAUUAGCAAUGGAAAUUCCAGCCCCAAUUCCCAUCAUUCCAUCCUUUCGAGGUUGGUAACCUGAGGACCCAGAUUGUUGGGGGCAAUAUGCUGACUCUGUAAACCGCUUAGUGAGAGCUGAAAGGCACUGUGAAGCGGUGUAUAAGUCUGAGCACUAUUGCUAUUAACUGAGAGCUAUGUUUGUUAGAAAGCAGAGAAUAAGUUCCUUCAGACAUACAUGUGGGUAGGUCUAAACUAUUAUUAUUUAAAUUUGUAUUCUAUCUUUUUACCUUAGAACCAAAACUCAAGAAACAUAACUGUGUUUAACUGCAUUUAAUUAAAGUAAUAACACAAAUUGAUACCAUAUAAGUAACUCAUCAAAAGCUCAAGAAACAUUACAAAAACGAUAACUAUAUAUAAUUGCAUUUAAUCAAAGUAACAACACAAACAUAAAAUAAUACCAUAUAGUAACACAUUUAAAUUGUUCAAAAAAGUAAAUAAAAAAAGAUGCAUCUUGAUAUAUUUCUUGAGUGUAGACUAAAUGGAGAGUUACAGCAACUCUAAAAGGAAUUCAGUCCAGGAGAAAUUCUGCUACAGAUCUCAUCCUGUGUGUCCAAAAAAAUAAGAAUCUAUAACAGAUCUGUGAUAAGCCCUUCCUAAUUUUUGUCCCUCAGAUAGCCAUUGAAGAAUUUAAUGAUUACAACCAACAUCAAGCCCACAAAACAAUUGGCCAAUAUAAAGAUUUUUCAGCAAACAUGUUGACAAAAUACAUUUCCCUGUUAUUAUUCUGACAUUGAUGUUUGCUUUUGCAUGUGGAUUUUAACAAAAUCAAAUUACCGGUAACUGAAUGCAUACAUGCCAGUUUGUGGUGGUAACUAAGGUGCUGGCCUAGAAACUACAAGACUCUUAAAUUGUAGUUCCACCUUAGGCAUGAAAAAGCAGCUGGAUGACUUUGGGCCAGUCACUCUCUCUCAAACCAGUCCUCCUCACAGGGUGGUUAUUGCUGGAAAAAAGAAGUCGAAGGAGUUUUAUGUAUGUAUACCAUCUUGACUUCUUUAUAAAGUAAUAAAGAUGAGAUAAAAAUCUAAUAAAACUAAAUAUUUUAAAAUUAACAAAAUUAUGAUAGCCUGGGUUUUUUCAUUUAAUGACCAAACACAACUUGAAAAAGAAACACAAUAUAUGGAAACUGUAUGACAGUGUUUCAUAAUUUAUUAAUCUACCAUAAUAAAUAUGUUCAGUUUGACAGACUAUUUUGGAAAACUUACCUGUGAUUCCCAGAAAGUCCUCCUUUUAAGUAUAAUUUAAAAGAGCUUUCUUUAUAGGUCAAAAGUUACAAAACAAAUUACUUUGUCUUUGGUAAUAGGUUAAAAGUUAUAAACAAAUUGCCCAAGCCUUUCAGGAUCAAUGCAACACAAAAUUCUUGUAAAUUUUUACAGUAUCUGUACUGAUACGGUGACGUAGUGAUGUGUACCGGUAUCACUGGUUACAAUGGGACAUGUUUUUGAAUAUGCAUGUUUAGAGAAGUAAUUUAAGAUGAAAACAGCUUUACAUCCUCAGGCAACAGAUGGCCUCAAUGUGGACAUCCUGUUUUGAAAAACAAUGUAUACACAGGAUAGGUUUUAGAUAUUUUUCUAAAACAUUACUGAAUUUGAGAUUUUGAUGGGUUAUCAAAUAUUUCACGAUUUAAGUUUUGUGUUCUCUUCUGUUUUUCCUCUGACAUUCUAGAUGUGUUCAUGAAAACCUAUUGUUUCAUUCAAGCCUUUCUUUUGUGAAUGCCAGGAAUGGAUAUUCAUUGUAUUUCAUUUCUUUUCCUGUCCAAUAUAAUAUAUUUUAUGUUAAAUAUUUACAGAUCUUUAAUGUUUGCAUUUAAAGAGUUUCUAUUAGCAUUAGGAAUUUCUGCAGACAUAAGAGUAGGGCCAGCAACAAGUCCAGAGAGUGAAUAAUCAAUAACAUGUAUACCUGUUCUGUCAAGAUGACAGGAAGAAAGCAGGUACAUGCCCUGGAAAUUUUAUCAUUUUUUGCAAACUGGGCUGGAAGCACUAAUUUGAGAGGCCACAAAUUAAGCUUUCAGUGGCAGUGACUGCUGUGUCCAAAGAUAAGUGUAUUUCUGGGUGGAGACUAGUUGGCAUCCAUCAUGAGGAAAACUGGAAGUCAGCAUGAGCAGUAGUGGAAAUAACAAACAGCACAACUUGACAAUGAGAUGGGCGGCAUAUAAAUUUAAUAAAUAAAGUGCUGCAGGAAGACAAAGAACGAUAAAUGGAACAAGAAAUGAAAAAUUGUGACUGGGAAUUAACUGAGUACCGGAUGUAUAGGUAGGUGAAUGGACUCCAUUCCGCCUGAUUUUAUUCAAGGAUUAUAGCUUGGUGUGAAUAAGUAAAGGGACUUAGUAAAGGGAACAUUGGAGGUAUGGCAAAGAAAGUGAUGAAAAGGACAGUUUAAUUUCUUUGGUGGGAGAUGAGGAAUGGAGAAGAAAGGCUCCCGCUCAAAGUGAGAGAACAGGGAGGGCUCCCAACUUUGGAAUGAGAUGAAAAUUCACUGGAAAGGAUGGGUUAGAGGUGUGUGCUAUAAAAGAAGUAAAAUUGAGGGUGUUUUGUUAGAUGAAUGUAGGAAAGUGUGAAAAGCAGUAAUGGGUUAUUACUGAGUAGCUGAGGGAGAUAUGGGAGGAACUGAGGAUGAGCUGUUAUAGAAGAAAAGAGAUUGGCAUGUAUAAUCAUUCCCCAAUUCUAGCUCCCUAAUCUCAACUCAAUAUACAGUUAAUUAGAUUAUUACUAUCACAUUAGCUUUACCCUCUUUCUAUCACUGCUUGUACAGCUCUCCACUUUUCUUCAUGGAGGUGGGAAGGAAACAAUAAACUAAGUAUUAAUUUUAAAAGAAGAACUUAUUUGCCCAUCUUUAAGAGGCCAUUUUUGCACCUGGCUUUAUUAAAUGAUUGUUGUCCAGUCUCCAAAUUUUCUUUUCUAGAGAAAGUUGUUUAAAAGGUGGUAUGGUAGCUACAAAUAAUUCUGAAAGAAAUGGGUUAUAUAAAGACUUUUAAGCCAGGAUGCUUAGGCAUGUGAUAAAAAUCAUACUAUUUGGUCUCAUCAGUGCCCUCUAAUAGAAUGGGGUGGUGGGAGCAUGAUUCUCCUCAUACUAUUGAAUCCUUCAGUUUUCAAUAUUAUCAACCUUCCAAAUUGCUGUGAUUCUGUUCAGUUAUGGUUCCAUUCCUUCCUACCUGGGCAAUGUCAGUCAAUGAUUGUGCAAAGGAGUAUUCCCUGGAAUGGGGAUUCUGAUUACAGUCACUCAUGUUUUUGACAUUUCUUAAUUGGCCUACUGCAGCACAUUGUAUACGAAACCCACCUAGAAAUUUCAGAUGGUACAGAAUAUGAUUGCCUGUUACUAAUGGAUUAAACCAUGUACAACCUUUUAAUCCCUAUUUAAUGUAAGCUGUACUUGUCUACUAGUUUAUUUCUGGAUGCAAUUCAAGCUGCUGGUUAAUGUCUAUAUGGCUUGGAACGUGGAUAUCUUUGAUGCUGUACACUCCAAAUAAUGGUAGCCCUCGAAUUAUGACUAUACUUGAGCCCACAAUUAUGGCCGUUAGUUAUGGUCAUAUAGUGGGUCAGAUAUCACCGCAACUGAUUUUAUUAUCUUUUUUACAGUGGUCAUUAAGCAAACGCCGCAGUCAUUAAGUGAACACAUUCGCUAUGUGGUGGGUUUUGCUGGAAACACUGAUUUCCAGCAAAACAUUGUAAAUUGUGGUGAUGGAACAUUGCAAAUGGCUGUAAAUGCAGGCUGGUUGUCAAAUGCCACAAAUGUAGUCACCUCACUGGAGGGUAGAUGUCAGAACUUCAGAUUUAUGUCAUAAAUCCCUUUUGGGGUCUGUCAUAACUUCAAAGGAUCACUAAGUGACCAGCCAUAUGUCAAAGACUAUCUGAAUAAUCUGCACCAAUCAGAUAUGUUUGGUAAUCCCAAUCACUAGGAAUUCUAGUGGGAAGGGAGCUCAAAAAUAAGCAUUCUCUUAUGAACCCCACUUCCUCCUGUGGAAUAAUUUGUCUGAUAGUAAUUUGGACCUUCCCCUUAUAAGACACUUGUAAACAGUUGGCUAUUUUAGAGAGCCUUCUGGGAAUGAUGAUAUAAUAAUAGAAAAUAUCUAGUAAAAAUAUGAAAUUAUGCAAGAUUUGUGUCGGGUUCCAAGUAAUAAAUCCAUAGCAAGCAAGACUCCGAGGCAUGUAAAUUCCUCAAAAAAUACUUUUAUUUGGAAUUAUCAUAUUGGCACGUAUUUGGUGAAAACCGACUCUGAGGUCUCCUGCGGUUUUCACCUAAUUAAAAGUUUCCCUACUUUCCUCCAGAGAUUAGAAUGGGCCCUAAUCUAACACUCUUCCGGAAGGCGCUGAAGACCUGGUUCUGCCAGCGGGCCUAGGGAAACCAGAGCGGAAUGGAGUCCAUUAAAUGGCUUGUGUGAUGUGCUGUCGCCAUGGCAGGGGAUGGGGAUGAUUUUAUUAUAUUAAUUUAUUUGAUUCUUUUUUAUUAGUUUUAUUGUUUUAAAUGAGGUUUUAUAUUUUGUAAACCGCCUUGAUUUGCCAUGUAUGAAUAGGUGGUGAUAUAAAUUCAAUAAAUAAAUACUUUCUCAAAACAAUCAGUCACAUGGUCCAAUCACAGAACGGGCUGGAAACCAGGUGGCAUCACUCCGCCUUCUUAUGACCAGGUGUGAGAAAGUCCUUGGUUCCCAAGAGAAAAUAUGUUGUUUUGGCUAUAUGUUCCCUUCAAUUCUCCCAUCUCUAUCCCUCAGCUCCAGUGGGGCAACACUGAAGCGGUCAAAAUGGCUUCAGUUAGGUCAGGUUCACAGUUGACAAUUUGUGGAAAAUUUUGAUUAUGAUUAUAUACAACAUUAUUGUUUUGCUGGAAUUUCUUCCAUCUUGUAAUUUGGUUUGAUUGAUGUGUAAUGGAAGUUAUAGUCAAUAAAAUAUAUUAAUGAACUAUA